rnacentral:ribozyme from 13 species
UUCUCUUUCUCUCCUUUCUCUUUCUUCCCCUUCCCCCUUUUCUUUCUCCUAUCCCUCUCAGAAAGAGAAGGAAACUUAGCAAGAAACUCAGUUUCUUGAGGAUAAAGAAGAGUAAA